CACCCACCACAACUCGGUCAAUUCCAUAUUUUUGUACUCUCACACUUGCGGCAUGGUUCCAUAAAUAGCUUUGAUAACUGUGCACAUACAUCAUCCUCAAAGUUCUAGGUAUAGCUUUCAGGGCCAGCAAGUAGUUCCCAGGACAUUUCUUCAAACACUGAAGUAUGGCCCUUUCAGCAAUCAAGUGCCGAGGUAAUUGCCUUAGGGUCCCUUCAAUAUCAUUGCUUUCUCUAUAAUAUUCUCGUGCCUUCCUCACCACAUCUCUUUCCCCUUCUCUUGGAUCAAGGAUCAUGCUUGCAGCACUUUUCCACUCUCCUCGGAGCAAUGCAGCCCCAAUUAGAUGUGUUGGCACAGAACCACUACCAAAACGUUGUAAACCAAAGUAAUUGAUGAAGCCAUGCCUUCCUAAUGAAUCUGCAGAACCUUUGAUGGUAGUUUCAGAAUCUGCAAUGACUCCUCGUAAGGUGACU
rnacentral:misc_RNA from 1 species